rnacentral:rRNA from 1 species
CCUACGGGAGGCAGCAGUCGAGAAUCAUUCACAAUGGGGGAAACCCUGAUGGUGCGACGCCGCGUGGGGGAAUGAAGGUCUUCGGAUUGUAAACCCCUGUCAUGUGGGAGCAAAUUAAAAAGAUAGUACCACAAGAGGAAGAGACGGCUAACUCUGUGCCAGCAGCCGCGGUAAUACAGAGGUCUCAAGCGGUGUUCGGAAUCACUGGGCGUAAAGUGUGCGUAGGCUGUUGCGUAAGUCGUGUGUGAAAGGCGCGGGCUCAACCCGCGGACGGCACAUGAUACUGCGAGACUAGAGUAAUGGAGGGGGAAGCGGAAUUCGCGGUGUAGCAGUGAAAUGCGUAGAUAUCGAGAGGAACACUCGUGGCGAAGGCGGGUUCCUGGACAUUAACUGACGCUGAGGCACGAAGGCCAGGGGAGCGAAAGGGAUUAGAUACCCUGGUAGUC